rnacentral:lncRNA from 1 species
AGAAAAUGUUAUGUUGUGUGUGUCCCAUCUCAGAGAAGCAGAAGAGGAAGAGCCUACCUCGAUAUUUUAGAGACAUUCAAUCUUCUCCUGGUGCACAGCCGGCUCAGACUCAAGCCCAGCACAGCCAUGGAUCAUGACACUGACAUGCCUAGGAAUAAAACAUAGUGUGGGAUAAAUGUGUUAGAGGCAAGACACAGGGAUGACUCAUCUUUCCAAACUCAAUGCACUUUCAAGCCAAAGGAGACACCGGAGGCUAGAUUAUAGAAAGCACUAACUAGCCCCACGUGGAUAAAUCAACCUUCUCAAAACAAGUUCAGAUGAGGACAGAGGAGAAAGGCACAUAUUAUAUAAUAGGUGAGGCCAAAACUGCACAAGACUACACUGACCUGAGGGGGAAAAAGAGGAGACUGGGCCGCAUUGGUGAUAUGGACAUAAGAGUCCAGCUGAUAAAUGUCUCAUGACACUGGACCAAGGCUGUUCAUUUCAGCAAGAUCUCCACAAACCUGAACUAACAACAUUGCAUUUAGAUCAAAGUUACAGGGCAUAUACUGUAGGUUUAGAUCUGAGCUUAGGCAGUAAAUAAAUGUUUGGUUUUAGAGCGCGUACACACAUCAGCAUUGACAGCUUUUUAUCGCUCACAAUUUAUCUAAUAGGCCUAGCACAAACUCUAUGCAAGUUGUAACUACAAUAAUGCUUAUAGCAUCAUGUCUUUUGUCACGUCUUGUUUAGCUUAUAAGGUAAUGCAUAAUAGCCUAUAACCGUGCUACCUUUGUCUUACCUUCGUCUCUUUAUCGCAUCUUGGUGCGGAGGGGAUGAAGCAACAUCCUUCAAACGAGUCCAGUGAUGAGCACCACCGUCUGUCCGUCCGCAGGAGAAGAGCAGCUGCCUCCGCAGCGAACAAGAGGAUGCGAACAAGGAGGAUACGAACAAGGAGGAUACGACCGUGGGCUAACAGGGGACGAGCCCGCUGACUGCACCAGAGCUGCCCUGGACGAGCGAUGGAGACUGGAGACUCUCAGCCUUUGACCUCUGCAACUAAAUCAAAGGCAUUGUCCACGAGGCAGAUGGGCCCCCCUCCACAACAAUACAAGUAAA